GGGAGUAAAAGUCGUAACAAGGUUUCCGUAGGUGAACCUGCGGAAGGAUCAUUAUUGUAUAACCGAGGUGCGAGGGCUGUCGCUGACCCGAAAGGUCGUGCACGCCCGAGUGCCCUCACACACAUCCAUCUCACCCCUAUGUGCACCACCGCGCGGGUCCCCCUUUGGCUUGUUCGGAGGGGGGCUUACGUUUUCACACAAACUUUGUAUGCAGUGUAGAAUGUAUUUUUUGUUUUUGCGAUCACGCAAUCAAUACAACUUUCAACAACGGAUCUCUUGGCUCUC
rnacentral:misc_RNA from 1 species